GACAGAGGGUGCAAACGUUGUUCGGAAUUACUGGGCGUAAAGCGCGUGUAGGCGGCUAAGUAAGUCGGGCGUGAAAUCCCACGGCUCAACCGUGGAAGUGCACUCGAAACUGCAUAGCUAGAGUCCUGGAGAGGGAUGCGGAAUUCCAGGUGUAGCGGUGAAAUGCGUAGAUAUCUGGAGGAACACCGGUGGCGAAGGCAGGUCUCUGGGCCAUAACUGACGCUGAGAAGCGAAAGCAUGGGGAGCGAACAGG
rnacentral:rRNA from 1 species